GGUAGAGGAGAACAUUGUGAUUACUAACUCUGCACCAAUAACCACUAAUAUUCCGUACCCACUAACUAUACAAAAUGAAAUAUUUCAAUAUUAGGAAUAGAUCAUAUAUAUAUGGGUUAUGUUUAGCUUAUAAGCAAUGAUUGGUUACAUAAUCCUGCAGUGUGUUGCAUAAGGAACAAACUUGAGAAAUUGUUACGUAUUUAUUAUCAAUUGUAUGGUGAGUACUUGCUUGCUUGCUUAUGAUCAGUAGACAAUGCUUUUGUUUGAU
rnacentral:lncRNA from 1 species